UACGUAGGGCGCAAGCGUUGUCCGGAAUUAUUGGGCGUAAAGAGCUCGUAGGCGGCCUGUCGCGUCUGCUGUGAAAUCCCGGGGCUUAACCCCGGGCGUGCAGUGGAUACGGGCAGGCUGGAGGCAGGCAGGGGAGAACGGAAUUCCCGGUGUAGCGGUGAAAUGCGCAGAUAUCGGGAGGAACACCGGUGGCGAAGGCGGCUUCCUGGACCGGUUCUGACACUGAGGAGCGAAAGCGUGGGGAGCGAUCCGG
rnacentral:rRNA from 1 species